GAUGAACGCUGGCGACGUGCCUAAUACAUGCAAGUCGAGCGAACAGAUGAGGAGCUUGCUCCUCUGACGUUAGCGGCGGACGGGUGAGUAACACGUGGAUAACCUACCUAUAAGACUGGGAUAACUUCGGGAAACCGGAGCUAAUACCGGAUAAUAUAUUGAACCGCAUGGUUCAAUAGUGAAAGACGGUUUUGCUGUCACUUAUAGAUGGAUCCGCGCCGCAUUAGCUAGUUGGCAAGGUAACGGCUUACCAAGGCAACGAUGCGUAGCCGACCUGAGAGGGUGAUCGGCCACACUGGAACUGAGACACGGUCCAGACUCCUACGGGAGGCAGCAGUAGGGAAUCUUCCGCAAUGGGCGAAAGCCUGACGGAGCAACGCCGCGUGAGUGAUGAAGGUCUUCGGAUCGUAAAACUCUGUUAUUAGGGAAGAACAAAUGUGUAAGUAACUAUGCACAUCUUGACGGUACCUAAUCAGAAAGCCACGGCUAACUACGUG
rnacentral:rRNA from 1 species